AGAUGAAUGUCAAUGUGGAACAAACAAUAAACCUUGCAGGAACAGGGAUUCGAAUGAGCAGUCGUCAUUUGUCCAUGAAAGCCGUAGAGUUCGAACCUUCACUUUCGGCAAUUGCAUUUGGCACGUGUUUCUUUCGUUCGCCAAACGCAACUCUCGAGACACUCGAGAUGUCUUCCAUUUCCC